GGGGACGUAGAGCGUUACGGAAGACGCGUCUGCCUGUAGAGCAGGAGCCCGCCAGGGCCCGCUGGGUUCGACUCCCAGCGUCCCCA
rnacentral:tRNA from 2 species